UUCCUCCGUCCGCAGUCCGCAAUCAAAUCAAAACAAAGUGGAAAAGAUUGUGUGAGGUUCAAUCGACAGGCUCGCGAAUAGUGAAAAAUUCGGGCCUAUUUUCCGUGUUUCGUCGAGAAUUUAGCAGUGGGAAACGCAGCGGAUGUGGCCAAGUUCCUAUUUGGUACCCAGGGUGCCCGUGACCACGAAGAUGGAUGAUGGCGACCUAGUUGAGCUUGCCGAGGGGUGCACAUCUCGGAGUACGAUUUGCACGACGGCCGGAGUACCGUUUCCGGCGUCAACGUCAAAGAUGCCGCAGGAUAUACUGGGGCAGCCAAAUCCGAACGAGCCGACGAACCAUGAGGUGGACCAUUGCAGAAGAAGCUGAAAUCGGAGACUACAUAUCAGGAUUGUCAUCUCCGUCGAUCAGGAUUGAAAGCUCCGUCGAACUAUGCAGUCAUGACGUCCAAGCAAAUCGAAAAGGACCUGCUCCGUGGUCGGUUUUAUCGCGUGCUUCAGCUGCCCAGCAGUAUCGGAGGUCGUCCAGGUCGUCCUUUUCCAGCUGACGGAUCAGAUCAAGGCCAAGAUCAAGGAACAGUCUGGAGAAUGUGGAAAGUUCCGCCAAGAUGUGCAAUCCGCAUUUUGACAUUUCGGCCGAUUCGAUGAUAGUGAUCGAAACGCACCGCCGGCGUCACCUGGCCUAUUGGAUGCCUAACAGGGUGAACUGGUCGGCAAUUCGGAAGCCGGAUCGAACCUUUCCAACAAUACUGGCCUGCCAACUGGUCAAAAAGUCCAAGUAGAUGCUGCAGAUAAUUCUGAUGAUUCUUUCACGAAAACUAGAUGCCAUUCAAAAGCUGUCCACGAACGCCGUGGUGUGCAACGCCUCGGCGACAGCUGCAGCCGCUGUCCAGAAGUGGCCCAUCUUAACUGAUUAUUAUUGCUUAUUUCUGGGGGAAGAGUGCUCGUCACAAGUCGGCCGACGGGUGUGGGAAUCAAUACUGGUAUUUGAACCAACCGGCGUCGAGAAUAUUAGGACAAUUCGCGGUUCUCAAGCUGUGCGAUUUAUUUUUGAAACUUACAGCAGCUAGCGAUAAGAAUGUAGCUGCCGCCCGAACCAGAUUGUAUCCCGGGCUGGAAACAGGCAGCGGCCGUCGAAAAGCAGCUGGUCUUCAAUUAGAUGUGUUUGGCAAUUACGCUAUCCAGUAGUUCUUCGUGUUUGGCCAACCCGUACAGAAACAAACCAUGUAUAGACUCGGAAUAUUACUCUAUAAGCCAUUUGUCCGCGAGCUAGACGGUCACGCAACCACUCUGCCUUGGUUAAAUACCGAUGAGCUCAUCCAGGAACAUGACGGAAAUUAUUUAGUUAAUUCAACAUGUUUUGAUGCACGGAAAGCCGGAGAACAAGUCCGUGCUGAUUGCGGUCGCCCGGACAAGGUUGUCGUAGAACAAGUUCACGCGGAUGAAACGGAUGACCGAGCUCCAGAGGAAGGACAACGCAUCGUUCACACACGGACCUUCCUUUGAAAGCUUUUCAAACGAUUCUAAACGACACCAAGUGCCCGAGCUGGUUGUGCGAAAGAAGAUCGAAAAUCGGGAAAGAACAUCGAUUAUUUUAGAAGUUGCAUAUUCUUUAAAAUGUAAAAAGCUACUAAAAGCUACUACUUAUAAAUACAAAUGUUAAAAUGAAGUGUUUCGGUGGGCAAUAAAUCAGAUUGAGAAUAAAA